rnacentral:tRNA from 1 species
GACGCCGUGGCCGAGCGGUUCGGGCGGCGGCCGCAAAGCCGCCGCACGUGGGUUCGACUCCCGCCGGCGUC